GCGCACGGGUGAGUAACGCGUGGGUAUCUGCCCUGGAGUGGGGGAUAACCGCUGGAAACGGCGGCUAAUACCGCAUACGCCCUGAGGGGGAAAGCUCUGGCGCUCUGGGAGGAGCCCGCGUCCGAUUAGCUUGUUGGUGGGGUAACGGCCCACCAAGGCUGCGAUCGGUAGCUGGUCUGGGAGGAUGAUCAGCCACACUGGAACUGAGACACGGUCCAGACUCCUACGGGAGGCAGCAGUGGGGAAUCUUGGACAAUGGGCGCAAGCCUGAUCCAGCCAUGCCGCGUGAGUGAAGAAGGCCCUAGGGUUGUAAAGCUCUUUCGGCGGGGAAGAUGAUGACGGUACCCGCAGAAGAAGCCCCGGCUAACUCCGUGCCAGCAGCCGCGGUAAUACGGAGGGGGCUAGCGUUGUUCGGAAUUACUGGGCGUAAAGGGCGCGUAGGCGGACGAUCAAGUCAGGGGUGAAAGGCCCGGGCUCAACCUGGGAACGGCCUUUGAAAC
rnacentral:rRNA from 1 species